rnacentral:rRNA from 1 species
GACGAACGCUGGCGGCGUGCCUAAUACAUGCAAGUAGAACGCUGAAGGAGGAGCUUGCUCUUCUGGAUGAGUUGCGAACGGGUGAGUAACGCGUAGGUAACCUGCCUGGUAGCGGGGGAUGACUAUUGGAAACGAUAGCUAAUACCGCAUAAGAGUAGAUGUUGCAUGACAUUUGCUUAAAAGGUGCAAUUGCAUCACUACCAGAUGGACCUGCGUUGUAUUAGCUAGUUGGUGGGGUAACGGCUCACCAAGGCGACGAUACAUAGCCGACCUGAGAGGGUGAUCGGCCACACUGGGACUGAGACACGGCCCAGACUCCUACGGGAGGCAGCAGUAGGGAAUCUUCGGCAAUGGACGGAAGUCUGACCGAGCAACGCCGCGUGAGUGAAGAAGGUUUUCGGAUCGUAAAGCUCUGUUGUAAGAGAAGAACGAGUGUGAGAGUGGAAAGUUCACACUGUGACGGUAUCUUACCAGAAAGGGACGGCUAACUACGUG